CCAUGAGGGAAAGGUGAAAAGGACUUUGAAAAGAGAGUUAAAAGUGCCUGAAAUUGCUGAAAGGGAAGCGAAUGGAACCAGUUGUUCUUGGCGAGUAUUGGUGUUGUCUAAAGUGAUGGCUUGCCACCUCAACGCAAGUGUGGUGGCAGGUUUUGAUCUGGAUGCGAUACUGCUUCUCGCCUUGCAUGUCAACGUCAGUUCACAAUUGAGGAAAACUCUGGGGACAUGGUAAUUUGCUUCCGGGUGACUGAAUGUGCCUAGUCGAACUCAUUUGUGAACUGCUCCCUGUGUGUCUGGUAGCAGUGCUCUGCUGUGCAUCUUCAAAAGCUUAAGCCUCGUCUCGUGCCUGGCUUUCGCUGUCUGUCGGUGCCUGGAGCACGUCCUUGACAUAAGUACGAUGACGAAAUGGUUUUAUUCGACCCGUCUUGAAACACGGACCAAGGAGUCUAACAUAUGUGCAAGUUCACGGGUGGUAAACCUUCUUGCGCAAUGAAAGUGACUGCUGGGAUAUCUGCACCAGCAACCGACCAAUCAAUUGUGAGAGGUUUGAGUAUGAGCAUAUCUGUUAGGACCCGAAAGAUGGUGAACUAUGCCUGAGAAGGGUGAAGUCAGGGGAAACUCUGAU
rnacentral:rRNA from 1 species